GAGCUCAGCCUGCCGCACAUCUGCACCAGCGUGUCGUCAUUACGCGCCAGCGCCUCCAGGAUCUGGUCAUCGAGAGGGCAAUCAGAGACAGGGAUGAUUAACUGAUACGGCAAUGCCUCCAAAAAGGAAAUCAAAUGGCUGGCGCCCCCCUCCCUCCUCAUCGUCACCCCCCCUGCCUCGAGCACUCUAACCCAGCCCGAGUCCCAACCACCCCCAGAUCCUUUCCCACCUCUCACUGCAGCCUGCCAGUCUCCCACAGCAGUCCCACCGCUGUGAGCCAGAGGUCAGCGCUGGAGGAGCCAAAACUACUAUUAUUACUGCGUAAUGACCCAAGGGAGGGAAAGACGGAGUCAGAGCGAGAGAGAGAGAGAGAUAUGAAGGUAAGCGGGAGCAGGGAGGUCUGUGUUUUUCUCACGGUCAACUAGUCAACUAGGUUGCUGCUCUUUUUGUGUCCCUCUGCUCUUUAAAGAUCCCCCUCACUUCUCCUUCUAGUUCCGUUGCUUAACUCUCAGAUCAAUCAGCACAUAGUGCAAAUUGUCUUAAGUCCAUUAGAGUUCUUAGAGAACUUUAUUUUUCUAGUGUCUAGUGCUGUUUAUAAUUACAUAUAUUGAGUUUUUUUUGUCAUAAAUGUAGCUUGCAGUAAAUAUUGGGUGAAGAAGGUCUAACCUGUAGUUUACCACCAUAUGCAUUCUCUUUCUUCUCCUCCUGUCUCACCUGCGUGGGUCGCCGGUACUUCCUGCACGCUGUGACAUGAGCAAUGACGCUGGCAUGGCUCUCCUUGCUCACGUUGAUGCCGUUCACCUUGAUGAUGCACUGGCCUGGGUGGAGGCCAGCGAUGGCUGCCACAGUGCCUGGCGUGAGACAAGAGACGAGCAGAGAGAAAGGACAGGGCGUCAAGGGCGACAUCCACUGCACGGGCAGCUCAGGAGGAGUGUGAGAGAGAGCCCGAGAGGAGGGAAGUUGUUUAUCCGGGGUAGACGAGGGCCUCUCCGAGGGAUGGAGUUCAGACCUUCAAGGUUUACAGCUAUCAGGAGGAAGUGCAUGGCAGACUAAAUAUUCCUCCCAUUUGUUUUUCUUGCUCCUAAAACACACACACACACACACACACACACACCGUGCAUACCUCGCAUUGCAAUGCAAAGAAUUUGUAUUCCGCUCACAAGAGUGUAGUAAGAAACAAAUUAUUCAGCUGGUAGUUUCUCUGCUGCCUCGACUGUCUUGGUGAGAAAGUAAACCAUCAGACAGGUCCACUGUGCGGAAACAGAAAAACAGGCGACAGGCCGACACCAUAGAGGCAGUUUAAUCAGCAAAGACUUGAACAAGUUCUUAUACAGUUCUAUCAAUAAUCUCGAAUUCAAUUUGAUGUUUCAGGGACACUAAAGGUAAAUAAAGCAUUCAUAUUAUUUGAGAUUUAUCUCUUCAUAUUGUGUGUGGUCUAUUUUCACUCUCUUAUCACAGACUGUUAUGACGCUAUAGUCAAUAGCUCUGCACACUUAGUUUGAAGUUAUAUUUUCAUACUGUUUAAAGCAUAGUUUAGUAUGGUGUCAGAAAGGUGACACAGGUUUGCUCAUUAGCAUGAUAAUCAAUCCGAUAGCUGUGGAGACAUUUCACAAAAUUAAUUGAUUAAAAUCCAAUUAAUUUCACGAUGAAGUUAUCUGUUCAGCUGCUGCAUAUAUCCCCAUCUCAUCCCUCUCUGCUAUCUCCCAGUUUCUCUCUGACUCUCAUUGAUAUUACCUGCUCCUGCUGACCCCAGACACCAGGGGACGGCAGCUGUUACG